CGGGACGGGUGAGUAACGCGUGGAUAACCUGCCUCACACUGGGGGAUAACAGUUAGAAAUGGCUGCUAAUACCGCAUAGGCGCACAGUACCGCAUGGUACGGUGUGAAAAACCCAGGUGGUGUGAGAUGGAUCCGCGUCUGAUUAGCCAGUUGGCGGGGUAACGGCCCACCAAAGCGACGAUCAGUAGCCGACCUGAGAGGGUGACCGGCCACAUUGGGACUGAGACACGGCCCAA
rnacentral:rRNA from 1 species